rnacentral:rRNA from 1 species
UACGAAGGGGGCGAGCGUUGUUCGGAUUUACUGGGCGUAAAGGGCGCGCAGGCGGCUUAUUUUGUCAGGCGUGAAAGCCCCGGGCUUAACCUGGGAACUGCGUUUGAUACGGAUGGGCUAGAGUUCGGGAGAGGAGCGUGGAAUUCCCAGUGUAGAGGUGAAAUUCGUAGAUAUUGGGAAGAACACCGGUGGCGAAGGCGGCGCUCUGGACCGAGACGUGACGCUGAGGCGCGAAAGCGUGGGGAGCAAACAGG